ensembl:lncRNA
AUGCCAUGCAGAGACCCUUACAAGCUUCACGGGUUGGCCUGUGAAAAACUCAUGAACUUCAAAAAGGCCAAGUGCAAGGUCCGUCAUCUGCUCUGGGGCAAUCCGAAGCACACAUACAGGCUGGGCAGAGAAUGGAUUGAGAGCAGCCCUGAGGAGAAGGACUUGAGGGUGCGGGUGGACAAGAAGCUUGACACGAGCUGGCAAUGUGCUUUUCAGCCCAGAAAGCCAACCGCAUGUUGGUCUACCUUAAAAGCAGUGUGGCCAGCAGGGCGUGGGAGGAGCCACCAGCGUCCCCUGCUGUGCAGACACUCAGCACGAGAUCGUCUGGGCACAGAGCUGCCUGGCCCAACCAGGCCGCAGCUGUCCCACGCCUCAGCUCUGCCGCAGGGAAACCCCUGGGGCAGGGAAACCUGGGCCUGGGGCGUGGGCGCUCAGGGCCAGGCCUCGUGCCCUGCUGCCGUGCCCCACCGCCUGGCACUCUCAGCGCCGUGCCAGCCCUCUUCCUCCCUCCCUGUCCCGCGGCACUCCUACGCACUUGGCAGCCCUUUGUUGGGCUGGGAGUGGGCCUUUCCCUCCUGCUCCUUCCUUGGGCAUCUCUCUGUCCUCUCAUGGAGACAAAGAUACAGGCACCCAGGGCAGCUGCUGCCUCCUGACGGCGCUGCGCUCCUGGGAGUGGGCACCACGGGGGCUCGGGCCCCACAAGGCACACCGCUACCAUGGGGACACCCCCCCCGUCACAGUGGCCUUGCGGCCCUGCGCCGCCCAGUGUCAGUACCCAUAUGCAUCCCAGUUGAUGUUGACCGGGCCUUGCAAUAUCGAUGGUAUUCCCUGGGCAUUUGUGGAGGAGUCAGGCACGGCAGCAGGCAAGGGAGAAGGAAACGAGCAAGAGGACACAGCCAAGGGAGUGAUGUGCUGGGGAAGAAGAGAAGCUGCCCAUGCACAGCAUCACAGAAUCCAUCAACUUAAGCUGGUUGUGAAACUCCACUGUAAAGAGAUCCAGUCCAGGGCCACUGUCACCUUCUCUACUCUCAUCCAUCCCUGCUGCUAGAAGACAUCAAAGUACCAACCUGCUUGCCUUGACUUUGGUUGACCUUGCAGAAAACCAGCAUGUCAGGUAGCACCCAUGAAUGUGGAGUCAGCUGCAUUAUGCCCUUUCUGAUAUGGGAAACAGUGACCUGCAGUAUCCUGCAGCUGGAACAGUAACCUGCAACUGUGUCCUGGUUUUGGUUUUGUUCAGCUUCUUCACAGGUGCUGCUAUGAUGCCAUGUUUUGGAUUUAGGAGAAAAAUAAUGCUGAUAGCAUAUUGAUGUUUUAGUUGUUGCAGAGCAGUGCUUACACUAAGUCAAGGACUUUUCAGCUUCUCACACCACCCUGCCAGGUACUCACCUACACCACCUACCCAGUGGCAGGCUGAGGCUGCACAAGAAGCAGUGAGGGGACAGAACCAGGACAACUUACCCAGACUGGACAACGGGAUAUUUCAUAUCAUAUGACAUCAUGCUGAGCAAUUAAUAUGGGAGCAGUUAGCCAAAGACAUGGCUGCUGCUUAGGGACUGGCUGAGCAUCAGUCAGCAAGUGGCAAGAAAUUGCAUUGUGCAUCACUUCUUUUGUAUAU